AACGAACGCUGGCGGCAUGCCUAACACAUGCAAGUCGAACGAGACCUUCGGGUCUAGUGGCGCACGGGUGCGUAACGCGUGGGAACCUGCCUUUAGGUUCGGAAUAACUCAGAGAAAUUUGAGCUAAUACCGGAUGAUGUCUUCGGACCAAAGAUUUAUCGCCUUUAGAUGGGCCCGCGUUGGAUUAGCUAGUUGGUGGGGUAAAGGCCUACCAAGGCGACGAUCCAUAGCUGGUCUGAGAGGAUGAUCAGCCACACUGGGACUGAGACACGGCCCAGACUCCUACGGGAGGCAGCAGUGGGGAAUAUUGGACAAUGGGCGAGAGCCUGAUCCAGCAAUGCCGCGUGAGUGAUGAAGGCCUUAGGGUUGUAAAGCUCUUUUACCCGAGAUGAUAAUGACAGUAUCGGGAGAAUAAGCUCCGGCUAACUCCGUG
rnacentral:rRNA from 1 species